rnacentral:RNase_P_RNA from 1 species
UAAGCAAGCCGUUCUAUCGCUGUCCAUCUACAAUGGAGAGAGGAAAGUCCGGGCAACACAGAGCAUCCUGCUUCCUAACGGGAAGGGACCAGCUAUCCUGAGUCAAACGAAGGAGCGGGUAACGGAAAGUGCCACAGAAAAUAAACUACCCUGUGAAAACGGGGCAAAGGUGAAAACGUGAGGUAAGAGCUCACGGUUCCCGAUGGCGACAUCGGGGGCGGUAAACCCCAGGAGUUGAAAGACCAAAUAGGCUAACGCACGUAGGGCUGCUCGUCCGAUGUUAGUGGGUAGGUCGUUAGAUCCCGGCAGCAAUGCCGGGACUGGAUAAAUGAUAGAAUCCCGAUUUUAUCGGGAACAGAACCCGGCUUACAGGCUUGCUUUUUUA